UUAAGCGACUAAGCGUACACGGUGGAUGCCCUGGCAGUCAGAGGCGAUGAAGGACGUGCUAAUCUGCGAUAAGCGUCGGUAAGGUGAUAUGAACCGUUAUAACCGGCGAUUUCCGAAUGGGGAAACCCAGUGUGUUUCGACACACUAUCAUUAACUGAAUCCAUAGGUUAAUGAGGCGAACCGGGGGAACUGAAACAUCUAAGUACCCCGAGGAAAAGAAAUCAACCGAGAUUCCCCCAGUAGCGGCGAGCGAACGGGGAGGAGCCCAGAGCCUGAAUCAGUGUGUGUGUUAGUGGAAGCGUCUGGAAAGGCGCGCGAUACAGGGUGACAGCCCCGUACACAAAAAUGCACAUACUGUGAGCUCGAUGAGUAGGGCGGGACACGUGGUAUCCUGUCUGAAUAUGGGGGGACCAUCCUCCAAGGCUAAAUACUCCUGACUGACCGAUAGUGAACCAGUACCGUGAGGGAAAGGCGAAAAGAACCCCGGCGAGGGGAGUGAAAAAGAACCUGAAACCGUGUACGUACAAGCAGUGGGAGCCUCUUUUAUGGGGUGACUGCGUACCUUUUGUAUAAUGGGUCAGCGACUUAUAUUCUGUAGCAAGGUUAACCGAAUAGGGGAGCCGAAGGGAAACCGAGUCUUAACUGGGCGUUAAGUUGCAGGGUAUAGACCCGAAACCCGGUGAUCUAGCCAUGGGCAGGUUGAAGGUUGGGUAACACUAACUGGAGGACCGAACCGACUAAUGUUGAAAAAUUAGCGGAUGACUUGUGGCUGGGGGUGAAAGGCCAAUCAAACCGGGAGAUAGCUGGUUCUCCCCGAAAGCUAUUUAGGUAGCGCCUCGUGAAUUCAUCUCCGGGGGUAGAGCACUGUUUCGGCAAGGGGGUCAUCCCGACUUACCAACCCGAUGCAAACUGCGAAUACCGGAGAAUGUUAUCACGGGAGACACACGGCGGGUGCUAACGUCCGUCGUGAAGAGGGAAACAACCCAGACCGCCAGCUAAGGUCCCAAAGUCAUGGUUAAGUGGGAAACGAUGUGGGAAGGCCCAGACAGCCAGGAUGUUGGCUUAGAAGCAGCCAUCAUUUAAAGAAAGCGUAAUAGCUCACUGGUCGAGUCGGCCUGCGCGGAAGAUGUAACGGGGCUAAACCAUGCACCGAAGCUGCGGCAGCGACGCUUAUGCGUUGUUGGGUAGGGGAGCGUUCUGUAAGCCUGUGAAGGUGUACUGUGAGGUAUGCUGGAGGUAUCAGAAGUGCGAAUGCUGACAUAAGUAACGAUAAAGCGGGUGAAAAGCCCGCUCGCCGGAAGACCAAGGGUUCCUGUCCAACGUUAAUCGGGGCAGGGUGAGUCGACCCCUAAGGCGAGGCCGAAAGGCGUAGUCGAUGGGAAACAGGUUAAUAUUCCUGUACUUGGUGUUACUGCGAAGGGGGGACGGAGAAGGCUAUGUUGGCCGGGCGACGGUUGUCCCGGUUUAAGCGUGUAGGCUGGUUUUCCAGGCAAAUCCGGAAAAUCAAGGCUGAGGCGUGAUGACGAGGCACUACGGUGCUGAAGCAACAAAUGCCCUGCUUCCAGGAAAAGCCUCUAAGCAUCAGGUAACAUCAAAUCGUACCCCAAACCGACACAGGUGGUCAGGUAGAGAAUACCAAGGCGCUUGAGAGAACUCGGGUGAAGGAACUAGGCAAAAUGGUGCCGUAACUUCGGGAGAAGGCACGCUGAUAUGUAGGUGAAGCGACUUGCUCGUGGAGCUGAAAUCAGUCGAAGAUACCAGCUGGCUGCAACUGUUUAUUAAAAACACAGCACUGUGCAAACACGAAAGUGGACGUAUACGGUGUGACGCCUGCCCGGUGCCGGAAGGUUAAUUGAUGGGGUUAGCGGUAACGCGAAGCUCUUGAUCGAAGCCCCGGUAAACGGCGGCCGUAACUAUAACGGUCCUAAGGUAGCGAAAUUCCUUGUCGGGUAAGUUCCGACCUGCACGAAUGGCGUAAUGAUGGCCAGGCUGUCUCCACCCGAGACUCAGUGAAAUUGAACUCGCUGUGAAGAUGCAGUGUACCCGCGGCAAGACGGAAAGACCCCGUGAACCUUUACUAUAGCUUGACACUGAACAUUGAGCCUUGAUGUGUAGGAUAGGUGGGAGGCUUUGAAGUGUGGACGCCAGUCUGCAUGGAGCCG
rnacentral:rRNA from 1 species